rnacentral:rRNA from 1 species
CGGGGGGGUGUGCUAGCGGCGAACGGGUGAGUAACACGUGGGCAACCUGCCCCCGGCUCUGGGAUAACUCCAAGAAAUUGGGGCUAAUACCGGAUAUGACCGCUGACCGCAUGGUCUGGUGGUGGAAAGAUUUAUCGGCUGGGGAUGGGCCCGCGGCCUAUCAGCUUGUUGGUGGGGUAGUGGCCUACCAAGGCGACGACGGGUAGCCGGCCUGAGAGGGUGACCGGCCACACUGGGACUGAGACACGGCCCAGACUCCUACGGGAGGCAGCAGUGGGGAAUAUUGCGCAAUGGGCGGAAGCCUGACGCAGCGACGCCGCGUGGGGGAUGACGGCCUUCGGGUUGUAAACCUCUUUCAGCAGGGACGAAGCGCAAGUGACGGUACCUGCAGAAGAAGCACCGGCCAACUACGUGCCAGCAGCCGCGGUAAUACGUAGGGUGCAAGCGUUGUCCGGAAUUAUUGGGCGUAAAGAGCUCGUAGGCGGUUUGUUGCGUCGGCUGUGAAAUCCCGAGGCUCAACCUCGGGUCUGCAGUCGAUACGAGCAAACUAGAGUGUUGCAGGGGAGACUGGAAUUCCUGGUGUAGCGGUGAAAUGCGCAGAUAUCAGGAGGAACACCGGUGGCGAAGGCGGGUCUCUGGGCAACAACUGACGCUGAGGAGCGAAAGCGUGGGGAGCGAACAGGAUUAGAUACCCUGGUAGUCCACGCCGUAAACGUUGGGCGCUAGGUGUGGGGCUCAUUCCACGAGUUCCGUGCCGCAGCUAACGCAUUAAGCGCCCCGCCUGGGGAGUACGGCCGCAAGGCUAAAACUCAAAGGAAUUGACGGGGG